AACGCCGCGUGAGCGAUGAAGGCCUUCGGGUCGUAAAGCUCUGUGUUAGAGAAGAACAAGUACGAGAGUAACUGCUCGUACCUUGACGGUACCUAACCAGAAAGCCACGGCUAACUACGUGCCAGCAGCCGCGGUAAUACGUAGGUGGCAAGCGUUAUCCGGAAUUAUUGGGCGUAAAGCGCGCGCAGGCGGUCUCUUAAGUCUGAUGUGAAAGCCCACGGCUCAACCGUGGAGGGUCAUUGGAAACUGGGAGACUUGAGUGCAGGAGAGAAAAGUGGAAUUCCACGUGUAGCGGUGAAAUGCGUAGAGAUGUGGAGGAACACCAGUGGCGAAGGCGGCUUUUUGGCCUGUAACUGACGCUGAGGCGCGAAAGCGUGGGGAGCAAACAGGAUUAGAUACCCUGGUAGUCCACGCCGUAAACGAUGAGUGCUAGGUGUUGGGGGGUUCCACCCUCAGUGCUGAAGUUAACACAUUAAGCACUCCGCCUGGGGAGUACGACCGCAAGGUUG
rnacentral:rRNA from 1 species